rnacentral:rRNA from 1 species
AUUGAACGCUGGCGGCAGGCUUAACACAUGCAAGUCGAGCGAGCGGCGGACGGGUGAGUAAUGUCUGGGCAACUGCCUGAUGGAGGGGGAUAACUACUGGAACCGGUAGCUAAUACCGCAUACCAUCAGAUGUGCCCAGAUGGGAUUAGCUAGUAGGUGGGGUAAUGGCUCACCAAGGCGACGAUCCCUAGCUGGUCUGAGAGGAUGACCAGCAACACUGGAACUGAGACACGGUCCAGACGCCGACGGGAGGAAGCAGUAGGGAAUAGUGCACAAUGGGCGAAAGCCUGAUGCAGAAAUGCCGCGUGUGUGAAGAAGGCCUUCGGGUUGUAAAGCACUGUCAGCGAGGAGGAGUUACUCGCAGAAGAAGCACCGGCUAACUCCGUGCCAGCAGCCGCGGUAAUAC